GGGCCAAAGAUCCUUUGUUUGUAUGUUAUCAUCACUAUGAUCUUCAGUUUUCCAUACACUGUGAUCUUCAGUUUUUCAUUGCGUGUUUUUUCUGCAGUUUGCUUGGUGUGUGGACAGGGCCAAAGGACAAGAUGCUUCAAUCCGGCGAGGACAGAGCCAAAUGACCAAAGUUUGUUCAUCUGUUGCCAAGUUUGGUACCAUCCCGUGGGGAGGGCCAGGGACAAGCUGCUCCGAUCCGGCGAGGAUGCCCACCAUCUAUUGUUAAGGGCGUCCGUGGAAGGCCCAGUCCUGACUCUCCAGUGAGCCGCAUUUGAUCGCUAUUGAAG